rnacentral:rRNA from 1 species
AUUGAACGCUGGCGGAAUGCUUUACACAUGCAAGUCGAGCGGCAGCGCGGGGGCAACCCUGGCGGCGAGCGGCGAACGGGUGAGUAAUACAUCGGAACGUGUCCUUAAGUGGGGGAUAGCUCGGCGAAAGCCGGAUUAAUACCGCAUAAGCUCUGAGGAGGAAAGCGGGGGCUCCGUAAGGACCUCGCGCUGUUGGAGCGGCCGAUGUCGGAUUAGCUAGUUGGUGGGGUAAAGGCCCACCAAGGCGACGAUCCGUAGCUGGUCUGAGAGGAUGAUCAGCCACACUGGAACUGAGACACGGUCCAGACUCCUACGGGAGGCAGCAGUGGGGAAUUUUGGACAAUGGGGGCAACCCUGAUCCAGCCAUUCCGCGUGAGUGAAGAAGG